ACCAGUGGUGGGAGCAAGACGCCGUGUUGUAUCAAGGUGGGUUUGAAGAGAGGGCCGUGGACGCCCGAAGAGGACGAGCUCUUGUCCAAUUACAUCAAUAAAGAAGGUGAGGGCCGAUGGCGGACCCUACCCAAGAGGGCGGGGCUGCUCCGCUGCGGCAAGAGUUGCCGCCUCCGCUGGAUGAACUACCUCCGCCCUUCUGUCAAGCGCGGCCAGAUCGCCCCCGACGAAGAAGAUCUCAUCCUUCGCCUCCAUCGCCUCCUCGGCAACCGGUAUACAUAUAUAUACAUAUAUAUAUAUAUAUAUGCCCAUCAUCAUCAUCAUCAUCCAUUCUACACACACAUAUGUAUAAUUACUUAUUGAUUUCUAGGGUUAGGGUUUCACUGUUGAGAUCGAGUGUUUGAAUUAAUGAAUUAUAUGUAUGUAUAGGUGGUCUUUGAUAGCUGGGAGGAUCCCAGGGCGUACGGACAAUGAGAUAAAGAACUACUGGAACACACACCUGAGCAAGAAGCUGAUCAGCCAAGGCAUAGAUCCCAGAACCCACAAGCCUCUAAAUCCAGAUAUUCACUCCUCGGCUACUGUUGCUGCUGCUGAUAUGGACAGCAACAUUAACAAAGCAGCAACAGUUUCUUCUUCCAAAACCAAUCG
rnacentral:lncRNA from 1 species